rnacentral:rRNA from 1 species
ACCAUGCCAGUGAAACAGCCUGUCACCAACANNAACAGAGCCGACAUCAGGUAAUAUUACCCACAACGUCAAGCAUANNNNAGCCACACCCCCACGGGCAUGCAGCAGUACUUAAUAUUGGGCCAUAAGCGAAANNNNNGCUCGACCUAAUAAUGGAAUCCACCAANGGGCCGGUUAAUCUCNGUGCCAGCGACCGCGGUUACACGACAGACCCGAGACAACGUCACCGGCGUAAAGCACGACUANAAAAAUAGUAANAAAAAUNNUAAGGCAGAGGAUNAAUCCAGGCUGUAAAAAGCCAUAAGACACACNAAAUCACCNNACCUUAACCAGUAAANCCACUUCAACUCGUGAAAGCCGGGAUACAAACUAAGAUUAGAUACCUUACUAUGCCCUGCCAUAACACGGCAAUAAAAUANCCAAUUGCCCGCCAAAUAACUACGAGUAAAAACUUAAAAUUUAAAAGACUUGACGGUACUUCACAACAACCUAGAGGAGCCUGUCCAACAACCGAUAAUCCACGAUUAACCCAACCCGUUUUUGCCAAGNCAGUCUAUAUACCGCCGUCGCCAGCUUACCUUAUGAAAGAAACAAANGUAAGCCAAAUAGUANCCACACUAACACGACAGGUCGAGGUGUAACAAAUAAACGGGUCAAAGAUGGGCUACAUUUUCUUAAUCAGAAAAGACGAAUAAANGUAUGAAACAACAAACUGAAGGAGGAUUUAGCAGUAAGAUAAAAAUANGAAUGUCUACCUGAAACNANUGCAAUGAAGUGCGUACACACCGCCCGUCAUCCCUGUAAAAUNAAAAAUCAACAUCCAUAANACAAAUACAUAAAUAGAAGCAGGGCAAGUCGUAACAU